AGCAGCCGCGGUAAUUCCAGCUCCAAUAGCGUAUAUUAAAGUUGUUGCAGUUAAAAAGCUCGUAGUUGAAUUUCGGGAUCAAUAUGUCGGUCGUGCCUCGGUACGUACUGGCGUCAUUGGUUUCUCCCUUCUGAAGAACCGCGAUGUCAUUAAUUUGGUGUCGUGGGGAAUCAGGACUGUUACUUUGAAAAAAUUAGAGUGUUUAAAGCAGGCUAACGCUUGAAUACAUUAGCAUGGAAUAAUGAAAUAGGACGUUCGAUCCUAUUUUGUUGGUUUCUAGGAUUGACGUAAUGAUUAAUAGGGAUAGUUGGGGGCAUUAGUAUUCAAUUGUCAGAGGUGAAAUUCUUGGAUUUAUUGAAGACUAACUACUGCGAAAGCAUUUGCCAAGGAUGUUUUCAUUAAUCAAGAACGAAAGUUAGGGGAUCGAAGACGAUCAGAUACCGUCGUAGUCUUAACCAUAAACUAUGCCGACUAGGGAUCGGAUGAUGUUAAUUUUUAAUGACUCAUUCGGCGCCUUACG
rnacentral:rRNA from 1 species